rnacentral:rRNA from 1 species
UACGGGAGGCAGCAGUGGGGAAUAUUGCACAAUGGGCGCAAGCCUGAUGCAGCCAUGCCGCGUGUAUGAAGAAGGCCUUCGGGUUGUAAAGUACUUUCAGUCGUGAGGAAGGUGUUAAGGUUAAUAACCUUAGCAAUUGACGUUAGCGACAGAAGAAGCACCGGCUAACUCCGUGCCAGCAGCCGCGGUAAUACGGAGGGUGCGAGCGUUAAUCGGAAUUACUGGGCGUAAAGGGCACGCAGGCGGUUAAUUAAGUUGGAUGUGAAAUCCCCGGGCUUAACCUGGGAAUGGCAUUCAAGACUGGUUAGCUAGAGUCUUGUAGAGGGGGUAGAAUUCCAUGUGUAGCGGUGAAAUGCGUAGAGAUGUGGAGGAAUACCGGUGGGCGAAGGCGGGCCCCUGGGACAAAGACUGACGCUCAUGUGCGAAAGCGUGGGGAGCAAACAGGGAUUAGAU